rnacentral:rRNA from 1 species
GACGAACGCUGGCGGCGUGCUUAACACAUGCAAGUCGAACGGAAAGGCCCUGCUUUUGUGGGGUGCUCGAGUGGCGAACGGGUGAGUAACACGUGAGUAACCUGCCCUUGACUUUGGGAUAACUUCAGGAAACUGGGGCUAAUACCGGAUAGGAGCUCCUGCUGCAUGGUGGGGGUUGGAAAGUUUCGGCGGUUGGGGAUGGACUCGCGGCUUAUCAGCUUGUUGGUGGGGUAGUGGCUUACCAAGGCUUUGACGGGUAGCCGGCCUGAGAGGGUGACCGGCCACAUUGGGACUGAGAUACGGACCAGACUCCUACGGGAGGCAGAAGUGGGGAAUAUUGCGCAAUGGGCGGAAGCCUGAUGCAGCAACGCCGCGUGCGGGAUGACGGCCUUCGGGUUGUAAACCGCUUUCGCCUGUGACGAAGCGUGAGUGACGGUAAUGGGUAAAGAAGCACCGGCUAACUACGUG